rnacentral:rRNA from 1 species
GUGAGGAAUAUUGGUCAAUGGGCGGGAGCCUGAACCAGCCAAGUCGCGUGAAGGAAGAAGGAUCUAUGGUUCGUAAACUUCUUUUGCAGGGGAAUAAAGUGCAUGACGUGUCCUGUUUUGUAUGUACCCUGAGAAUAAGGAUCGGCUAACUCCGUGCCAGCAGCCGCGGUAAUACGGAGGAUCCGAGCGUUAUCCGGAUUUAUUGGGUUUAAAGGGUGCGUAGGUGGUUUGAUAAGUCAGCGGUGAAAGUUUGCAGCUUAACUGUAAAAAUGCCGUUGAAACUGUCGGACUUGAGUGUAAAUGAGGUAGGCGGAAUGCGUGGUGUAGCGGUGAAAUGCAUAGAUAUCACGCAGAACGCCGAUUGCGAAGGCAGCUUACUAAGCUACAACUGACACUGAAGCACGAAAGCGUGGGGAUCAAACAGGAUUAGAAACCCGAGUAGUCC